rnacentral:rRNA from 1 species
CGGAACGGGUGAGUAACGCGUGAGGAACCUGCCUCAAAGAGGGGGACAACAGUUGGAAACGACUGCUAAUACCGCAUAAGCCCACGGCUCGGCAUCGAGCAGAGGGAAAAGGAGUGAUCCGCUUUGAGGUGGCCUCGCGUCCGAUUAGCUAGUUGGUGAGGUAAUGGCCCACCAAGGCGACGAUCGGUAGCCGGACUGAGAGGUUGAACGGCCACAUUGGAACUGAGACACGGUCCAA